CGAUUCUGGCUCAGGAUGAACGCUAGCGAUAGGCCUAACACAUGCAAGUCGAGGGGCAGCAUAGAGUAGCAAUACUUGAUGGCGACCGGCGCACGGGUGAGUAACACGUAUGCAACCUACCUACAUCAGGGGAAUAACCCGGAGAAAUUCGGACUAAUACCGCAUAAUACAGGGAUGCCGCAUGGCAAUAUUUGUUAAAGAUUUAUCGGAUGUAGAUGGGCAUGCGUUCCAUUAGCUAGUUGGUAAGGUAACGGCUUACCAAGGCAACGAUGGAUAGGGGAACUGAGAGGUUUGUCCCCCACACUGGAACUGAGACACGGACCAGACUCCUACGGGAGGCAGCAGUGAGGAAUAUUGGUCAAUGGACGAGAGUCUGAACCAGCCAAAUCGCGUGAAAAGGAAGACUGCCCUACGGGUUGUAAACUUCUUUUGUACAGGAAUAAAAGACAUUACGUGUAAUGUAUUGCAUGUACUGUACGAAUAAGCAUCGGCUAACUCCGUGCCAGCAGCCGC
rnacentral:rRNA from 1 species